GUCUACAGCCAUGCUACCUUGAACAAGCCUGAUAUCAUCUGAUCUCAGAAGCUAAACAGGGUUGGUUAGUACUUGGAUGGGUAGUACUUGGAUGGGAGACCACGUAGGAAGACCAGGUGCUGUAGGCA
rnacentral:rRNA from 1 species